rnacentral:rRNA from 1 species
UACGUAGGGCGCAAGCGUUAUCCGGAAUUAUUGGGCGUAAAGAGCUCGUAGGUGGCUUGUCACGUCUGCCGUGAAAGCUCGCAGCUUAACUGCGGGUCUGCGGUGGAUACGGGCUGGCUAGAGGUAGGUAGGGGAGAACGGAAUUCCUGGUGUAGCGGUGAAAUGCGCAGAUAUCAGGAAGAACACCCGUGGCGAAGGCGGUUCUCUGGGACGGUACUGACGCUGAGACGCGAAAGCGUGGGGAGCGAACAGG